UGGGGGGAAGGAAUGAGGACUUUGCAGAAAUCGUUAACAGAGUUUUACAAGGGAUUAAGUCACGGACUCCAGUUGACCCCUGCGGAGUCAGAUACAAACGGUUUUACAUACACCACUGUUUGUUGAGCAAUACCCAUGUGUCGUCUUCAGUGGCUGUGGGUGUUCAUUUUGUAAGGUUGCUUUUAACCUGUAUUCACUGUUUUCAGCAAAUGAUUAUCCUAACACACACAGAAAGCACACGAAUCACUCUAGGAUCAGGGGGUGGUAGGACAGAGAGGAGAUUCGAGCUGCUCAUUAGCUUUGGCUGGGAAUCCGAGGCAAGUAAGGUUGGUUACUACACUGUUCUCUUAAAGGCUGGUUAAACAAAUAGACUGAGCACACAGUAGGAUAUCAGUCUUACCUGACCUCAAGGCACAUUAUUAACUGGCUAUGAGGUCUAGCAAAAGCUCCGAUCUUUCUUGAAUGUAAGAGGUUUUCUGUUUUUGUUUUUAUCAUACUGUAUCACUAUACCACUUUUUUGAGAGAGUGAGGAGAGAGAGUGAGAGAGCGAGAGUUAGAGAGAGAAAGAGUUAGAGAAUGAAAGUUAGAGAGGGGGGAGGGAGAGAAUGAG
rnacentral:lncRNA from 1 species